UUAUUCCUUAUGCAGUUAAAAAUAUGGACAGUGUCGUGCAGAAAAAAAAGGUCUUUUACCGUCUGUAGAAGAUGGGUAUACAAAACUGGCUUGUGGUGAAUUUACAAAGUAACACAUUUUCUGUUACUGGCAUUAUUAUCGGUAACAAGUGAAACAACCUGAAAGCCAGGUGAUUCUAUACCUACUACUAAAGUUCUUACUACAUUAAACAAGAUCUCUGCAUUCAUUUUUUUUCACAGGCAAUACAUGUACAACUACUUUGAAAGGAGAAACAAUGCUCUGAAUCAUGAAUACAUUUGCACUGGUUGCUAUUUCAGCAGUGUCCAAAGUCAUUCCAGUAAUAUUCCCCCCCUUUAUAAUCUAUGUGUGGUUUGUGUGGAUCUCAUCUAGUCUAAAGGCAACAAACAGUUCAUGUGGUUCCAAACAUGAAACUUCAUCAUUCAUUUUUGUCAGCAGCUGGUAAUACAUUUCUUGCUUGAUGGCUGUGAUUGGUCAGCCGCCUUCCAGCUAACUGUCAGCCAUGACCGCAUGUGUUUGUUGAUGAUUCGAAAUUACUUUCAUGACUGAGAAGGAAUAUACUUCACAGUUUCUCUGUACAGAGAAUUUGAGAGCUGUGGAAGAUACACAGCAAUGAAUACAUGGACAAAAGUAGAAAGUCUGUUGCCAUAAAAAAAAUGACAGAAAUGCCUGGGUGACAGGAAGGUUACAGAGGAUGCCAUGAAAAAAAAUCAACAUUUUGCAUGUGUGUUUCAGGUGUGAAAGUAGUAAGAUAAGGAAGAGCAGUGUGUCUGGUUGUUUCACAGACAGUGUUUAUGUACCAACUCUGUGAUAGUAUAAUGAACUUAAAAUAUUUGUAUCAUCAUGUGAAGCCUAACAGGAACAAGUACCACAGAAAGAGAGGGACUGAACCGUCAAAUGAUGUGACCUCUGUUUUAAUAGUUGAAACCUGAUUAAUUUCAGAAGCCUUUAUCUGCCUGUUGCAGAGCAGGAUAAAAGGGCCUGAUGUGAGACACAGCUACAUAAAAAAAUAAAAUAAAUUGGUUCAUAUGGCUCAGCUAGCUGCAGAAGGUGAUGUGAUUUUGUGUAGAGGUACGAGGAAGCCUGGAACAUGGGAUCAGAGACAUGCAGCCCCCUAUGUGGGUACUGCUACACGGAGCAGCUGAUAUCCAAGCUUCAAAGUGGCAGACAUUCCUCGUAUCCGAGAGACUAUAGUCAAUGUAUAAAACUAAUUCCAGACGUCUUGUCUCAGACUGUGGGAGACAUCUUUGGAGGUCAAACAGCAACCUCCCGAGAUGUUUCUUGCAGUAGGAGAUUGACAGGGAAUAGUUUUACCUAUCGACUAUGAUCCCUCCCCUCCCCUCCUCUCUCUCUCUCUCUCUCUCUCUCUCUCUCUCUCUCUCUCUCUCUCUCUCUCUCUCUCUCUCUGCCUGGCAUCAAAAAUAGGUUACAUUCAGUACAAAUUUAUGUGAGUAAAAGUAUAACAUGUCAUAGGAAAAAUUAAAAUUAUUUGUUUUUAAGCUACUCUAAGAGUUUAUGGGUAGUGUGUUGAUUUUGGUCUCUGUUUUUGUUCUGUGGUAGUUGUUGAAAUGUUAGAUAGUGUGGGUGCUUUCUAUUACAAUAAGAGAAUUUUUGUUCAGUGCCUUCACUUUUGCAGGUCCACAUUGCUUCUAAUUUGUGUGGAAAGCCCAAGAAAAAACUGGACGAAUUGUUUGUUAGCUAGCUUCAGUUGUUCAUUUGAAAUGUAGUGAGGUGAUGUGUUUCUAGUUUUUUAGGAGGUCCAUUUUAUUGUAUUUGUUCAUUUUGUGUAAUUUUUGUAAGUUGCCUUUAAUGUAUGAAUCAGUGCGUCCAUGUUGAUCUAUGAGAAUAGCAAUUGCAGAUUUAAUUAAAUAAGUCUAAAAGCUUCCAAGUGUUCACUGUAUUGUAUAUUAAACUUGCUACCUGUCUGAUCAAGAGAAAAACUGGGGCAAUUGCCACAACCAGUCUUGUAUAUUCCUGACUUAUCAAGAUAUAGGCUGGUGGCUUUGGUGCUGUAUGAUAUGAUACAUUAUGCUACACAGUGUUACAUACCAUUUUAUGUUUAAAGUAGAUAUCGUUGUCAUGGCAGUAAUGUGGAGAAAAUAUUAAUUUAUUGUUUAUUCCUUGAUAAAUCAUUUACAGAAGUCACCUUAAUUGAAAAAGGAAAUAAUUUGUAAAGAAUUAACUACAGCAGAACAUUGUUACUAGUUUUUGAAAGAGACCACAGAUUUCAAAUUCCAUGAACAGGAAACCAUACUACUGGAAAAUGCAUAAUUUGGUAAUGAUAAAGUUUCUUUGUCAGUGAAAAUUUGGACUUGAGGUUACCCUAUUUGGGGCUUGAGGUCAUAUAAUUAAAAACUGCAGUUGUUUGUUGUUCAGUAAUGUUGAUUUUUAACCUUCUUUACUCAGUGUUAUGUAAAUAAUCCUCUUUAUAGUGUGGAUUAUUUAGGAGAUAAUGCUUUAACUGAAUUCUUAAAUAUUUGGUUUGUAAUUGUCUUUUAUCUCCAUAGGAAAUUUAUUGUCCAGUUUUAUUCACUUGUAGAAAACACUUAUUUUGUGGGUUUUGUUUGUUUAUUUAUGGUAAAUAUUAAAUUUUGUUGGGAUCUUGUUGCAUGAUCAUGAAUGUUACUAUUUGUCAAGUAAUUGCCGAACUGUGUGAUUGCUGAUGGGAUUAUUUGAGAAUGGGACCUGUUUAGAUUAGUACACUCACUCGAAAAACAGUUUGAAAUUGUCUUGUAGGAGACGACAUGAAGUCUAUACUACAUGUAGAUUUACAAUAUUUAGUGUACAGUCAAUUGUAAAUGAACUUCUGGUCAUCAGGAUUUACACAGAACAAUAGGCUGUAGAGCUACAGGUGUCUGGUGUGUGCUUUUUGUCAAAAACUACUACUUGUCAAAUUUCAUAGUUUAAAGAAAUUGUACACUACUCAAAUUAAUGUUUCAAGUGAAAUGCUUACCUUACCUGAAAUUUCAUACGUGUAGUUACAAAUUGAUUUACUGUGAACUGUACAUAAACUGUGAUGAUUUUAUGUCCUAAAUAUAGCAGUCAUCAUUAUCCAAAUCGGUUGUUACAUUGCUUAAUGAAAGUAGCUUGUUUUGUUGGUAGAAGCAUCAUUCUUUUAUGUUUAAAGUCUUCUGGUAACAUAAGCAGUUCAUUCUCAUCAUUUGGUAACUUGACAAACAUUUUGCUACUUAAAUGAUUAUUGUUCAGGGAAAUUAAGUUGAUGUCAAUAGAAUUCACAGUACAGAGUUGUUUGACAUAGUGUGUAAAAUAGCUUUUGCUCUAUGUAUCUGAAAAAUUUAUAUGCAUUUUACUGAAUGUAAAUCUGCUCCACUGACAAUUUAUGGUGUAACUAUUACUUUUGUUUGGUUCAGUCUUAUUUGGUUAUGUUUUUGUAUGUAUAUGAAACCAGAUAAAUCAAAAUAAUAAUAAUUUUUGUGUUAAAAAAAGUGCCAUGUACUUAGGUUAACAAUAGUACCAUUACUAAAUGAACUUACAAAUUAUUAUCAAAUGGCAUUAUUUAUCUGUGUAAAUUUGUGAUUUUCCUUUGUUACAAAGCCCUUGAUAAUUUCAUGUUCAUUUUGCUUGGGGCAUUUUGAUUUGAUGGUAGACUUCAUUGUGACCUCUUUUAUGUGUAUUGAGCUUCUUAUUAAGCUAUGUUCAGCCUGUAUGGUUCAGUUCUCAAUAAUAUCUCUGGAAUUGUGGGAGUAGAUGUCUGUCUGUAUUCAUGGAAUCAUAAAUAUGAUGACUUUUGGUAGCAUGACAUAUCUUGAUUUCGUAGACUUUCCUGGCGUAAUAAUUGCUGAUAUUCUUCACAGGUUUGCAGCCGGAUCAUAUCAUCUGGACGAUGACAUGAUCCGGCUGCAAACCUGUGAAGAAUAUCAUGACGUAUCUAAGUGUUACAAGUGGCAACUACAACAGUCAGUAAUACUUACAGAAAUUCAGUACAAUUUUUACAUGCAUUAGUAUUUAAUUUUACCACAUAUCAUAAAUACUAAUUUUAUGGAAGUGUCAUUUACUUGUAGAAACACUUGAAACAUUGUAUGUCUAGCCUAUAUAAUCUGUGUUAGCAGUGGGAUCUUGCUAUAUGCCACUUCAAAAUUCAUUGUAUAUAUAGAGGCAUAUUUCAGUUAAUUUUUUUAACUUUAAUUUGAGCAGUUUGGUUACUACUUCUCCUGUCAUUGUUCUGUAUACAUUUAGUCGAAGGGACUAAGGAGAUAGUGUCUGUUAAAGCAAUUUCUAUGUCAAAAUUGAUAUUUUUGACAUUUCCAUAGUAGUAUUGUCCAUUUGUUGUGAUGUGUAUUGUUUUAAUUUUCGCUAAUUUUUGGAACCAUUACUUCUGUUGUUGUUGCUGUUGUUGUUGUUGCUAUUAACAGUACUGAGAAGUUAAUAUUCUUAUGUGGGAGACACAUCUACUUGGAGUGAAGCUAGUGUAAUGGACAAGGAAGUUGAACAGUGGUCUGCACCAUCAAGAUUCUGUCUCAAGUGCCUUCAAUGUCUCCUACUUUUGGUGUUAGUGAAAGUAGUAUGUAUUUGAAGAAUCUGUGAGUGAGUGUAUGUGGUAACACUAGAAUCAAUCACUGAAGAGUCGCAUUGAAUUGUGUCCAUCACAACUAAGUGGGUCAAUAUAAGAUGCUUCGCCAAGCCUCAUACUUUAAGGAGGUGAUGUGAUGGUGAAGGUCAGGACCUGUUAUGCACAGUACAGGAACUAUGCUGCCACACUUCCGUGUGGCCAUCACUAUGAAAUUAUGUUGUGGGAGCUGGAAAACAUUUUACACUAUCAUUACAGCAAGACCAACCUGCAGCAAGAGACCACUGAUAUAGCCUCAGCUAGCUGAGCAAUGAUUACAGUGUGAACAAAAUGAAUGAAUAUGCUAACCCUCAGAAAGUCUUCACAACUUCUAGAACCAUCAGGGACUUGCACUGACAAUGGGGCUAGCAUGAAGAUGGGAGUGACGCAGUAAUGAUAACAAUCUUCUGCAAAUGAGCGUUGUUGAGACGCAAGCUACCCUUGAGUGCUCUAUCAGAAUUCAUUCUGUCUGGUAUGCGAUCACCAAGGUGACACUGUUCGUAGCUGUACUGAACAUUCCAGAUUUCUUGGACUCCUGGUUUAAUCCUCAUCUUGAUAUCAUUGGGCCACAAUCUACCCUCUACAUGGCAGUGGAUAUUUAAAGCUAAAGAAGACACUUCUGCGUACUUGCUAGGAAGAAUGCGUACUGACCAUGGUGCUAAAGUUUAAAAUUUGGCAUCAAAUUUAUGGGGAUAAGCAACUUCCCACAAGUAAUUACUAUUCUGUUGAAAGCAAUAGGUAAAUAUGUUAUGUAAUAUAUUAUGUUAUGACCACAGUACUUUUGGUAUUUCUUUAAAAGUAUUUGCUGAGUUGCUCUCAAUAUCUAUUUGUUUUACUGCUUACUUUUUAGGAUCACUGUAAUUGUCAGUGCAGUGAACAACAACAACAACAACAACAAGAAGAAGAAUAUAAUAAUAAGUCUUGUCAUAGAGAGCAUAUUUGUAAUUAUUUCUUUAUUCCAUCAGACAAGCUAAUUGUUAGUCAGUAUUUUUGUGAUACUGUUUUGCUUGCCAUUUGAGGCAAGUGUGAAUGAAGACAAAAAUUUUAUUAAACGAUUAAUUUUUGGCAUACAUGCUUGUUGCUAUAACAGUGAUUAUAUGUUUAAACAAGUGAUUAAAAUUAAAUUAUGUAACAUUACUGUCCAUUCGAUAGCAUUCUAUUUUCAUUUGGAUGGUGAUAUGAUGUAAUGUAUCAUAAUGUCUUGUUUUAAUAUUUUUUAUUUAUCAUCUUGAAUUUGCAUUUGACAUUGCUUAGAGUUUUUGCAAGUCAGCAGCCAAAGAUGUUUACAGUUAAAGAAUUUACAAGUUUUUUAAGUAUAGUUUUUUGUUUAAAUGUUAAUAUUUCUUGGUUUUAUUAAUGGUUGUUUCAUCACAAUUACUUUUUUAAAGCUAUGCUCUUUGCUGGCAUACAAUAUUUUGUUUCUCUUUGUAAUAAGUAUACGUCAAUUGGUUUUAUCUGUUUCUGAUACACAUUAUUUUGUUGUUAAUCUCUUAUAAAACAGAUCAUUGGAUUGUGUAUAUUUAUUCUUUUUACGUCUGUACAGUCCUGUCUAAAGUACUCAUACAGAAUUAAAUGAAACACUGUUUGACAUCCACACCUUUUUUUAAUUUUGUCCCUGUGAAUGUAAUCAUAAAACACACAUUUCUUCUUCUGUGUCAUUUAUCAAUGUGAUGGGGGUAGUCUGGAAUCAACCUCAAGAUGUAAUAAAAA